UACGGAGGGUGCAAGCGUUACUCGGAAUUACUGGGCGUAAAGGGUGCGUAGGUGGUUUGUUAAGUCUUCCGUUAAAUCCAGCUGCUUAACAGAUGGGCUGCGGAAGAUACUAUGGAGCUAGGAGGCGGGAGAGGCAAGCGGUACUCGAUGGGUAGGGGUAAAAUCCGUUGAUCCAUUGAAGACCACCAGUGGCGAAGGCGGCUUGCCAGAACGCGCUCGACGGUGAGGGAUGAAAGCUGGGGGAGCAAACCGG
rnacentral:rRNA from 1 species